GCUUAACACAUGCAAGUCGAACGGUGAACCUGCUUCGGUGGGGGAUCAGUGGCGAACGGGUGAGUAACACGUGGGCAACCUGCCCUCAGCUCUGGGAUAACUCCAAGAAAUUGGGGCUAAUACUGGAUAUGACCGCUGACCGCAUGGUCUGGUGGUGGAAAGAUCUAUCGGCUGGGGAUGGGCCCGCGGCCUAUCAGCUUGUUGGUGGGGUAGUGGCCUACCAAGGCGACGACGGGUAGCCGGCCUGAGAGGGUGACCGGCCACACUGGGACUGAGACACGGCCCAGACUCCUACGGGAGGCAGCAGUGGGGAAUAUUGCGCAAUGGGCGAAAGCCUGACGCAGCGACGCCGCGUGGGGGAUGACGGCCUUCGGGUUGUAAACCUCUUUCAGCAGGGACGAAGCGAAAGUGACGGUACCUGCAGAAGAAGCACCGGCCAACUACGUGCCAGCAGCCGCGGUAAUACGUAGGGUGCAAGCGUUGUCCGGAAUUAUUGGGCGUAAAGAGCUCGUAGGCGGUUUGUUGCGUCGGCUGUGAAAACCUGAGGCUCAACCUCAGGCCUGCAGUCGAUACGAGCAGACUAGAGUGUUGCAGGGGAGACUGGAAUUCCUGGUGUAGCGGUGAAAUGCGCAGAUAUCAGGAGGAACACCGGUGGCGAAGGCGGGUCUCUGGGCAACAACUGACGCUAAGGAGCGAAAGCGUGGGGAGCGAACAGG
rnacentral:rRNA from 1 species